AUGAUAAAGGACAUACAUAUAAAUACAGCCUAUCAUGUUUCUUUUAUUUCUAGGAUAAUUUUUUAUCAUCCUGAAGACCUGAUGCAGAGAAAAAUAAAGCCUGUUACAUUCAGCAAGGGGAACAGAGCAGCUAGAUGUUUUUUUCUUCAGUAUUUCAUCACCCGAAGAUGAGAAACAGAGUAAUAUAAAAGCAGAAAUUCUUGGAUGGAGUUUCUGGGAUCCUAUUUUAUGAUGAAGACGGCUGGGUUUCCUGACCCCAUAUUGAGCAAUGAGAGACGCUUGAUCGUGGAGGCCUAAUGCUAAGGCUGCUAAAGCAGCCAGAGCCUAGGUUCCUGGUGACCGUGAAACUGCCACUUCAGACCUGAACUGCCUACCUCUAGACUUCUUCAACUUUAGUAGGUCACUGCUGUUUCCAGUCUCUCAACCUGAAGCUAAACACAAUUCCUAACUUAUCUAAGAUAUAUAAUCUUGAGCCUUAGUAAGUACAAUAUGAUUAUAGUUCAGUCAUAAAAUGCUUUGGUUAUUUAAAUGUGUUAGUCAUAAUGUUAAUUCAUCUCACAAUCCUCCUCUAAGAGAUAACUACUUAUAAAUUUUGCCUCAUUCUCAAUAUAUUUUUCUGAGCAGCCAGUCAUUAGGGCCUUAGAAUUUACCAACAUAUAUUUUGAAAUGUGUAUGUUAAACUAAGUUGCUAAA
rnacentral:lncRNA from 1 species